AUUGAACGCUGGCGGCAGGCCUAACACAUGCAAGUCGAACGGUAACAGGAAGAAGCUUGCUUCUUUGCUGACGAGUGGCGGGUGGGUGAGUAAUGUGUGGGAAACUGCGUGAUGGAGGGGGAUAACUACUGGAAACGUUAGCUAUUACCUCAGAACGUCGAAAGACCAAAAAGGGGGACCUUCGGGCCCCUCGCCAUUGGAUGUGCCCAGAUGGGAUUAGCUAGUGGGUGGGGUAACGGCUCACCUAGGCGACGAUCCCUAGCUGGUCUGAGAGGAUGACCAGCCACACUGGAACUGAGACACGGUCCAGACUCCUACGGGAGGCAGCAGUGGGGAAUAUUGCACAAUGGGCGCAAGCCUGAUGCAGCCAUGCCGCGUGUAGGAAGAAGGCCUUCGGGUUGUAAAGUACUUUCAGAGGGGAGGAAGGGACUAAAGUUAAUACCUUUGCUUAUUGACGUUACCCGCAGAAGAAGCACCGGCUAACUCCGUG
rnacentral:rRNA from 1 species